rnacentral:rRNA from 1 species
AUUGAACGCUGGCGGCAUGCCUUACACAUGCAAGUCGAACGGUAACAGGUCUUCGGAUGCUGACGAGUGGCGAACGGGUGAGUAAUACAUCGGAACGUGCCUAGUAGUGGGGGAUAACUACUCGAAAGAGUGGCUAAUACCGCAUGAGAUCUACGGAUGAAAGCAGGGGAUCGCAAGACCUUGUGCUACUAGAGCGGCCGAUGGCAGAUUAGGUAGUUGGUGGGAUAAAAGCUUACCAAGCCAACGACUUGUAGCUGGUCUGAGAGGACGAUCAGCCACACUGGGACUGAGACACGGCCCAGACUCCUACGGGAGGCAGCAGGGGGGAAUUUUGGACAAUGGGCGCAAGCCUGAUCCAGCAAUGCCGCGUGCAGGAUGAAGGCCUUCGGGUUGUAAACUGCUUUUGUACGGAACGAAAAGCCCCGGGUUAAUACCCUGGGGUCAUGACGGUACCGUAAGAAUAAGCACCGGCUAACUACGUGCCAGCCGCCGCCGUAA